GCUGCAUUUAGAAAUAUUCAAUUUCUUUUUUCUAUAAAAAAAAAGCAGUUAGAUUCACUCAAGUAUCUUAAGUAUGUGAUGGCAAUCAAUUGCCAUUGGAUGCCUUGUGCCCAGAGAAGCAGGACAAUAUUCAUUCUCAAUCUACAAUAAACUUUCAUAGAAGAAAUACAUGCAUUUUGGCCUUCCCGAAGAAUUAGGCUGUGUGACGUUUCCAAAUCAGUAGUUAAUAUACAUUUUAUUUUAAAGAUGAG
rnacentral:misc_RNA from 1 species